rnacentral:rRNA from 1 species
UUUUUGUUUUAGUAUAUUUUAUAUCUUUCUUUUGUAAAAUAUUUAGAUUUUUGAUAGGGUUUGGAAAGGAAUUUAAAAUUUGUUUUUUGAACUGGAUUAGUACCCAGGUAAACAAAGUUUAUUAAUACGGGAGUAAAGUUUUGUUUAAACCGAAAAAAUAUUGACUGACUUUGGAUUUUUCUUUGGAAUAUGUAUUUUUUGGAUGGCCCUCCUUUUUGGUAGAUUUUGUUGGCACAUGUAUGAUUGUUUAGUUUUUAUUUUUUCUUGUGAUGCUUUUCUUUUUGGUUGAAAAACAGAUAGAUAUUUGGCUUAUAAAUUUUGUUUUAUGUAUUACUAUUUUAAAUUUUUUUUGGAUAUUUUUAUUGAAUUUUUUAUUGAAAUUGGAAAAGAAAGUAAUUUUUUUUUAAUGUGGUUGUGAAUUUAAUAAGUGAAGUGGUACAAACCAUCCGUCAA